rnacentral:rRNA from 1 species
CAUAUGGAUGUGUCAGCAGCGCGCGGUAAUACGAAGGUCCCAAGCGUUGUUCGGAAUCACUGGGCGUAAAGGGAGCGUAGGCUGUGCGGUAAGUCAGAUGUGAAAUCCCGGGGCUCAACCCCGGAACUGCAUCCGAUACUGCCAUACUAGAGGAUUGGAGAGGUAGCUGGAAUUCACGGUGUAGCAGUGAAAUGCGUAGAUAUCGUGAGGAACACCAAUGGCGAAAGCAAGCUACUGGACAACUCCUGACGCUGAGGCUCGAAGGCCAGGGUAGCGAAAGGGAUUAGAUACCCCUGUAGUCCUGGCAGUAAACGGUGCGCGCUUGGUGUGAGAGGAUUCGACCCCUCUUGUGCCGGAGCUAACGCGUUAAGCGCGCCGCCUGGGAAGUACGGUCGCAAGACUAAAACUCAAAGAAAUUGACGGGGACCCGCACAAGCGGUGGAGUAUGUGGCUUAAUUCGAUGCAACGCGAAGAACCUUACCAAGGCUUGACAUGCAUCUCUAAUCGCGUGAAAGCGCGUGACCCUUCGGGGGAUUUGCACAGGUGCUGCAUGGCCGUCGUCAGCUCGUGUCGUGAGAUGUUGGGUUAAGUCCCGCAACGAGCGCAACCCCUGUGAUCAGUUGCCAGCACAUAAUGGUGGGAACUCUGGUCAGACUGCCCAGAUCAACUGGGAGGAAGGUGGGGACGACGUCAGGUCAGUAUGGCCCUUACGCCUUGGGCUGCAGACGUACUACAAUGCCCAGUACAAUGAGAACCGAUACCGCGAGGUGGAGGAAAUCUACAAAACUGGGCCCAGUUCGGAUUGGAGGCUGCAACUCGCCUCCAUGAAGUCGGAAUCGCUAGUAAUGGCGCAUCAGCUACGGUGCCGUGAAUACGUUCCCGGGUCUUGCACACACCGCCCGUC